rnacentral:rRNA from 1 species
UACGGAGGGAGCUAGCGUUGUUCGGAAUUACUGGGCGUAAAGCGCACGUAGGCGGGUUUUAAGUCAGAGGUGAAAUCCUGGAGCUCAACUCCAGAACUGCCUUUGAUACUGAAAGUCUUGAGUAUGGGAGAGGUGAGUGGAACUGCGAGUGUAGAGGUGAAAUUCGUAGAUAUUCGCAAGAACACCAGUGGCGAAGGCGGCUCACUGGCCCAUAACUGACGCUGAGGCACGAAAGCGUGGGGAGCAAACAGG